UGAAAAAGUAGGGAACAAAAUAAUUGUUUUAAUAACAUUUCACAGAAAUUAUAAGGUCUUGACCUGACAUGUUAGCAGCAGACUUAAGGAGUCACCCACGGAAGCUAAGUACCCUACUCUGACGCUGCUGUGUUUAAUCACCAGCAACAGAUGUGAUAGAAAAAUUAGUGAUUUCAAGCAAGUCAGAGAUGUAAAGAGGAAGCUUUUAAACUAGCUCAGCAAAAACACCUUUCAAGGGGCAGCGAGAAGACCUUUUGGCAGUAUUUAAUACUCUUUAAUCAGCUUCCCUUAACUGGCAGUUCAGAAAACCCUAGCUGAAACAAGGCAGACGAGUUUUGUUUCUAACAGCUGCUCAGAAAACCUUGAGCGAGGGGAGAGAACGAGCUGUGUCUUCCCUACCAGAAGCAAUCGGUGCUUACUGCGUUGUUCAGAACAGACCAUUCUCAUAAAACUACAAGGCUUCGUCCUCCCCUCUCUGAGGCUGUGGGAAUUUGGGGUAACUACAUGGAAAACAAUGGGGUUUUGCACCGGUUUAAGCGACACGGAGCAGCUCUCCUUUUGGUAGCUGGUUUCCGAGCCCUCGGUCGGGAGCUGUUUCUGGGGAGCACUGUGCAGACACAGGCGGGACGAUGCUCGGACGCGGCCGAGAUCAAAGCGCAGGUCUCCGUUUCAGGCAUUCGUGGGUAAUGAAACGCAGAGCGAGGACGUGUCCCCCGGGCAGCGACUCCUGCCAUGGGGCCCCGCUCCCGGCUGCGACCCUCUUGCUGGGCUGUACCGAAGCUAAUUGACAGGCUGAGACGAUCUCACAACCCGCGGCUUAUUUACAGGCUCAAAGGGGCGUUCGCACCGAAUCCCGAGGUUCGUCUGCUGUUGCGCAGCAGAUGAAUUCUAACAUAUUUGUGUAAUUCACAAACUUUUCCUGUUUUUUCUCCUGUCCGAAGCCCUGGUGCACUAGUGACUUUCCAUGGACACACGUGAAGCUGGUGAACUACCGAGCUUGCUUAGCCUAUCGAUGAGGAAACUGAGGAACAUGCUAGCUGCACGCUUGGCAAAAGUGUGACAAUAACCAGUAAUGAGAGAGGAGUGCUCCAUCUGUUCAGACUAUUCAGCUCCUUGACGUGGCUGCCCACGUGACCAGUAUGUGGAACUGGUGUUAAUUAGUUGCAGAUCUUCGGCAUACCAUUCUUAACUGAUUCCCCUAGUAAAUAUGUUUAACACUUGCCUUGGUUUCCUGUACAUGAUUCAUUCGGUUGGCAGUUCAAGCUCUUGCUUUAAAAACUUCCUAGGUCCCUUUAUCAGAGAUCGGCAGCACGUGCGCAUUUUUUCAAUAUGAUGAUGAUGACUACAAGGAAGUCUCCUAAAAUCAAGAUAAGUGUCUGUCCUUGCUUUAUGCCAAACUGGCACACAACACAGUGAACACAGAGUAAAUCAGUGAUGACAUGCAGUUUAGUGCUAUCAAAAACAGCAUUCAGAGAGACGCAGCUGACACACUGGAGGGAAGCAAUUACCCUCAGGGAGGCUUUAGUGUCAAAAACCUACGAGUACGUAUCCACUGAUAAAAGGGUGGCUUAUGCUACAGUGUUCAGACCACAUCAUAUUCUCAUGCGAUCUAGGUAUCAAAGGCCACAAAGUUUUCCCUAGAUAUGUUCCCAUAAUCUCUGUAUCUGGAGAGGAUCUUCCACUUUGAUCUGGAGACAUGAAGGUCUGACAAAUGUACUGCAUCCACCACAUCCUUCACGGCUUCUUCUCAUGUUUAGUCAUCCUCCAUGUGAAAAAACCUACAUCUUGUUGCUAACUUAAUAUUAUCUAGUUCCAGUUUUCCACCGCUGAUUUCUGUGACUUUCUCUGACAGAUAGCCUUCUCAUAGCUGUUGUAUUCUUCCUGAGAAAGUGCUUCGGUGUCACAAGUGUGUUACCUCUUAAACUCACUUCUGACAAAUAAAAGAUAUUAAAUCUCUUUAUAGGUCUCACCAAAAGGCAUUUCCACCAGAUCUUGUGCUAUUUUUGGAGGCUUUUAUUUUGCACAUCCCCUUGACAUCCUUUUUUUGUGUCAUCAUAUGGAGAAGUAAUAUUCGGCCUCUUGAACCUGUUCACUUGUUCCUAGCAUAUAUAUUGUGGGAUCAUUUUAGCUCUAUUUUCCUCACCAGCGCAUUAGGGGCUCCAGUGGAGCUGCCUGCUCAUGUUUUUCCUGCUUCCUAGCCAGUUUACUAAUUUCAAUUCAAAAAUAUUUAUUGGAUUACUGGAGUAAAUGGCAUCUACAAACUAGCAGGACUUGUUGGUUGCCAGCAGGUGACUGCCCCGUACUUGGUUCCUUCCCCUGCAAAGGAGAAAUAACAUUUCUACAGCACUUAGUCUAUCUUGUCAGCUCUGACUAAUCUCAUCACAAUGUUGGGAAGAAGAAGGUUAAUCUUUUUGUGAUUAACAGGGAAUCUGGAGCACUUACAGAUAGAUCUUUCUGUGGAUACUGAAGAGAUUUAUGGUUGCUGCAUAGGCUGGUAGCCUUGGUCAGUAUGAUAACAUUAGCAGACAAAACCCUGAUGCCUUAGUGUUGCUUUCAGACAGUCUGUCCCAUCGUAUCUGUAUGGCAAGUGUGGUCAGUGGAUUAAAAUUUGCUUCUGCACUGUUCGCAGUAUCACUUUCUGUAGUGAAGGAUUAUCAUAAAUGCAUUUGAUUUCUUAUAUUCCUGGCAUACCCCCUGCAAAUAAAAGUAGCUUACGGAGGCUGUAUUUUAAUGGUGCUCUGUAGGUACGUACCUAUUUGUUCUGGCCACAGUACACAUGGAGCUGGUUGCUCAGACCUGGUUUGUGUUCAGUGCUUUCCCAUUGGAGGCAGAGAAAUUGUGAGUCUGGCUGUAAAAGACCACAGCGAAGUACCCAGAGCUGGUCCAUCACUGGAGCUCGUGUUCCAGAGGGACAGCCAGGGGAGCUGGGGUGAAUCAUCUCAGCAUGGGGAGUCAGACCUGAGACUUAUGGGGCUGCUGCCCCCCAGAUGUAACCUGGUCAUAGAUGAUUUAUUGCUUUGUCUUCUCUUCCUUUAAUCCCAGGUCUCCUUAUACCUGAAGGAGAUCAUCCUUCCUGGGCCUUGCUGUUCAGACAAGUCCAAAAAAUUCAGACAUUGCAGAUUGCCGUGGUCUUCUGGAUGUGCAGAAAUCAGUGCUCAGUUCAUAAGUGUCCUAUGAGUGAACCCUGUAUGCCCAGGGAGCUUGCUGGCCUUUGCCUAAGAUGAAAUGCGUGACCCUGGUUCCUUCAAAGGCGAUGUCACAGCAAAGGGCUGAGUCUCUUCCAUGGUUGGUAGUUGCCUGGGAUGCGCGUGUUAGCACAAAGGUUUGUUUUAUUGAAGGCUCUGUCCUGUGAGCAGUCAGGUUGAAGGCCUGGAGUCAUCACGAAGAAGCUUCUAGAUCUGGCUCUGCAGAAGAAAUCUCUAUUAAUGACUAAGCACUGAGGUUUUUGAAACUGCUGUUUUGUCUAGAUCCCAGGCUUGUGUCCCUGAGUUGUGCCCCGAGGAUCCAGCCAGUGUCAGAGCAACCUGCAGGAUUCGGUGGGGUUGCUGCUCCUCUGCUCACCCUGCCCAAAAAAACGCAGCCUCUUGGGAUGAAUCCAACAAUUUUUGUCUCCUUCCAUAACACAGGGAGCCACGAUUUCACCAUAAGGCAUGUGACAAUGCAAGCAAUGACGGCAAUGAUUUCCCAUUUUAUAAUUACCAUGGCAACUAUAUCGUAACUUAGACUGGCAACAUUUACUUUCUGGGGUUGUCUCUCUUAAAACAUGACAUAAUUUAGCAUUCAAAGCUAUCCCACCGCCCCGUUCCCGCACCACCCUGCCAGCCGUGCCAUACGACAACGUUUUGUUGCAGCAGUGCUUUUGGAGAUCCCAUGCAUAGAGUUACUUGUUCCUCCACGCUUCUUUCCAAAUAAUGCAGCAUUUCAGAAGGGAGGGCUGCGUUUGGUAGGUGUUUUUCAGACGGGAGUAUCUUGUAAUUUUCCGAGCCUCUGUAGGAGUGCGUGUUUAAGCCAAGCUCAAGUCCUUUAGCUGUUCCCUACAGCCCAGGUUCAUUUCACGUAACAUUUUCCUAAAUUUAGGGUAUUGAGCUUAAAUUCACUGUAUAAGGCAUCUCCUUAUGAGAUGAGGUGGCUCUUUUCUCAGCUAUCAAUAACUGUGCUGCCCACAGCUUACCGUGGCCUUUAGCUACCAUGCAAAACACGCAAUUCAACACAUGCAAAACAGGGAACUAAAAUCUGUUUACCCAGCGUGGAUCAGAGGCAGUCCUAUUUUUAAGCCUAGCUCGGGAAUGUGGGUAGCAAAGCGUCUCGGGAGGAGGAGGUCCAGGCUGGAAAUGGUGGGCAGCCACAGCAAGGCAGGACAAGCUUUCUGCCUGAGCCGUGCUGCUGCUGGGCAGAGCCAUGGUGGCCUUGGGGCAGGCAGGAGAGGGGCAGGCGGCUCCAUGCCCGGGUCCACCCGCUGAGGAGAAAUCGGCAGCGACGGCUGGACCCCGAGGCCUCUCUCCGGGAGGAGCUCGCUUCCCAUCGCGGCUCGCUCCUGCUGAAGCCCUCGCAGUCAAAAAGUCACAGCUCAUUCUGCCUCCGGCUUUCAGCCCUCUUGGUUCGUUUGUAGUCCUGCCGUUGAUCCAAGGCCCUCUCCGAAACCUCCUGAAGUCAGGCAAACUGGGAAAGGUCUUCAGCAUCACGUAAACUCUUAACAGCUCUCCUCUAAUUAGCCUCAGGUUACAGGCAGCGGAGGGGGGGAAGGCAGCUCCCAUAGAAAAAGGGUUUGGAGUGGACGGCAUGUCCUGUGGGAAAAGCUCAAAUCCUGGAAGGAAAUGCUGGCCAUCAUUAUGUCAAGGGUCUCUGCUGACACUUCAUCAUGUUUCUGUUUGAAAAUGAAUCAUUUGCUGUUACAAGCAAGUUCUGAGAUGAUUAAAUGGAGCGGAGGACGGACAGCAAUAUUAGCCACAUUUUCAGUCUACAAAAGGGAUUUUUUUUUUUUAUGUUCUUGAUAUUUUCCAUUUUACUUCUCAACUGGAAAACAUAACCUUCUGGUUUACAUGCCCCCUGGGGGCCGUGUUCACCUCCCGGCUCUGCUGGGUAACUCUGGCCAAGCUAUUUCAGCUCAGGAGUUAAUGGCUUUGCUUUCACAUCCUUCAUCUGCUUGUCUCCUCAGAUCAGCGUUCCUCAAACUCCACCAGCCCAUGGGCUACAAGAGGCAACAAGUUUUCCAGGCAACACCACCCUUUGCUCUCCCUGUGAGCCUCAGUUUUAACUUCUGAAUUUCCUGUGCCUGUGAGUAGCAUCGGGGCAGGUUCCCACAAGCCGUGGGCUAGCGUGGUGAUGUUUCAGUGCAGGAGCUGUUGAUGGACACCUAAAGCCUUGGAGGAGCACUGGUGUUGUGCCAGCUCCCCUCUGAGAUGCUGAUCUACAAAUGAUGAGAGUCUUCAACAAGCUCCAAGAACAGAAACUAGUACUUUAUUUCAAUUUUCAGCAGCUAAUUUUCAGACUCAUUUAUCACACUGCUGACCAAACCACCACUGCUGAGUUAGCACUUG